UUUGCCAAGCCUCCCUGUUUCCUCUCAGCCUUCACCGUGUGAAUACGUUUUUUUACCGGAACUGGCAUGUACCAGUGGCAAAUCCGCCAUCCAUCGAUGCUUCCAGAUGCAUGCGGCUGGACCCCCACAAACAAACUUUCUUUUUCCACCUCUGAUUCAGGAUACGAGACCUAUACAGAUGCAAUACGAGAUGGCCCCCACGACAGAGAAAUAUCAAGCCCCCACUGUUGUUUCCUAGCCACAUCAAGCUCUCUCCUCUCUCUCUCUCUCUCUCUCUCUCUCUCUCUCGUGAGUUCCAUGCCGGUCACCGCUGCCAAUAGAUCUCGCUUUUCCAUCAACCUCCAACAGCGGAUCCGGCUUCUGUGACUGUCACCUACCACGGGGGAACAUAGGCAAGACUGGUGGCAUGGCAAUACUACGAGGCCGGCGAGGAGUGACGCCGAAUCACGCCGGCGGACGCCGGCUACGCUGUGGUGGGCGUUGGGGGGAGCUGCUCCAGCAAGGUUCCACCAUGAAGGCCACCUACCACGACGGGCCACUGCGCACUGGCGUUGCUCGAUCCGACGACUCCAAGUAGGAGUAACCGGAUCUGAUGGCCGGCCUCCCCAUGCUCCAUCAAUUUCAGGUGUUGGUAUGUUUGUGACAGAGAGCAUCGGUUAUUAUUGUGGAAUGUGUGUGAAAUACAUUGAAACAUGAUUUGAACGACAUGAUUUAUGAAUUGUGGGAUCCAGUGGAAUCAAUUGAUAUAAUUGAGAAGAUGAAUGAAUCAAUUUUUGUGUCA